AAUUAUAUUAAUUAAAAAUAACAUAUGAAUACAUUCAUGGCAUAUAUCGAGACGGAGAAUACACUGAAAUACAUAAAAUACAGCAGGAUACAUUGAAAUACAAUGAAAAAAGACAGUGAAUACAAUAAAAUACAUGGAAUACAAUUAGAUACAUUGAAUUACAAUGAAAAAAAGACAAUGAAUACAAUAAAAUACAUGAAAAUAUAUUGAAAUAUAUUAACAGAAAAUCAAGUUGCUCAGCCCCCAACUCCAUCGUCUUUGUUCAAGAACAACCAAGGUUUCCGGCGAAUCCGACAUUCACUGGAAGCCGGUAAUGAAAACAAUGUCAAAGCCUUCAAUGUCAUACCUCAGAAGAUGUAGAAAUCACGGAAACUUAUAUUCUUCAAUGAAGAAUUGAUUGAUAAGCCGAAUUAACUUAUAUCCUUUAAUGACGAAUUAAUAGAAAAACAACGUCAAAGCCUGCCCUGUUAGCCAUAGCAGAAGUGGAUGGAUGAGAAAGGAUGAAUUCUUUGUAGAUUCGGAAUGAGCUUUUGAAAUAAGGUUCAAUUAAUUAGGGCACAAUAUAUAAGAAGCUGCAAUAAUACAAAAAUGAUAAUUGGUGCGGUGAAAGCAAAGAGCUAUAAGGAGUUUCAAUGGGUAGUUUUGCACCACUCUGCCAUUCUCCGCCAUCGAUGAUCACUCAAAUGAAAAUUUUCCGAAACAAUGAAGAUGAAUCAGUGAACAAUUGUGAUUAUAUUCAUGAAAAAAGACUGGCGUUGAG
rnacentral:lncRNA from 1 species